rnacentral:rRNA from 1 species
UACGUAGGGUGCGAGCGUUAAUCGGAAUUACUGGGCGUAAAGCGUGCGCAGGCGGUUCGUUGUGUCGGUGGUGAAAGCCCCGGGCUUAACCUGGGAAUGGCCAUGGAAACUGGCGAACUGGAGUGUGGCAGAGGGGGGUGGAAUUCCGCGUGUAGCAGUGAAAUGCGUAGAGAUGCGGAGGAACACCGGUGGCGAAGGCGGCCAUCUGGACCAGCACUGACACUGAGGCACGAAAGCGUGGGGAGCAAACAGG